CAGAGUGAGAUGAACCUUUUGGACACACAUGUGUACACACUUGUGCACACACUAGCAGUGGUAUAAGGAAACACACAGAGUACUCACAGAGUCCUUGGGAGCUUUCAUUUUUUUUAAAAAAUUGCCAGGAGAUCAAGAGGAGAAACAGCCAACCAGGCAAGAACCAAAUGAAAAGGGUUUGACACGUAGCAAAUAAGGUUUGAGAUGGAGUCAGGCUCACAAGACAGUCCAAGAAUCAAGGGAGUCAUGGGGACAUCUUGCAUUGAUGUUAAUAGUCACAGAUUCAUCCAGUAGGAAGGACAAUCUGGAGUGUAUCUGUACUGCAUGAAGUACACAUGGAAGUCUCACCUUAUGGGCAAAAAGAGGAGGUGCAGCUGUGCCAUCUGCCUAGCUUUACACCUACGGGCUUUUUCUGAAACACAGAGGACUGGUGAAGAAUCUGUUCUGCAAAAGUCCAGUUAAGAAGACUUUUCAUACCAAGAUCAUAUAGACUUGAAAAAGAUUGUCUGGUUUUUUGUUUGUUGGUUGGUUUUUUUUAGGUCAUUCUAGCCAUUUCAAUAAUGGAAUGUGCUUUUAGAAAUAAAGUAGGGAAUGGUAAUAUCUUUUGUUACACAAACUGGGGAAAACCAGACAAACUUCAAGGCAGACCAGCUCUUCCUUAGAUACUAACA